rnacentral:tRNA from 1 species
GAGAUAUAACUCAGUGGUACAGUGUUUGCCUAGUAUGCAAAGGAUUUGGGUUUAAUCCCCAGCACUCA